GCUGUCUACCCUGAGACACAAAUCACCUAUAUGCCCGGGUGUCUGGGUUGGCCAAGUAGCUGGCCAGGAUGCGUUGCUGCCUUCAGGCCACACGUGUCUAGAGAAAAGUGCGUGGCCGGAGGCCCCAGGAAUGUCCCGGUCCCCGUCCCCACUUACCUUGCUUUUGUGAAAGUGACUCUGACGACGGUCUGUGAGGCAAUGCCAAGCCUGAUCAAGCAGCACAGCUCUAUGAAGGACGAGUGCCUUUGAAGGAUGUGUGGCUUCCUGUGAGCACCGGCUCUAUCCCUCACCCAUCUAUGCUGAGUUCAAGUGGGUUUUUUUUUUUUUUUGAUAGAAGCAGAGAAAAGUGACUCAUUUCCCAAAACUGAAGGUUAGGAAGGUUUGCAUUCUUCUGUAAGAGGAGAAAAUGGAGAGGAAAGCCAAGUAAGCUUUUUAAUUUUAAAAAUUUGUUGGAGGGGCUGGGGAGGUCGCUCAGUGAUAGAGCUUGCCUCAUGUGCGUGAGAUGAGGCCCCAGGUUUGAUUCCCAGCAUUGGGGGGAAAAAAGUCGGGACGUAGUUUAGUGCUAGAGCUUCCCUAGCAUGCAGGAGGCCCUAGAGUUAAUCCUCACACACCAAUUUAUUUGUUGGCUUUUUGGGGAGGUGGGGUGGGGUUUAACCAGGGUUUGAACCCAGGGGCACUUAAUCAUUGAGCCAUAUCCCCAAGCCAUUUUGAUCUUUUAUUUUUGAGACAGUCUUACUAAGUUGCUGAACUUGCUAUCCUCUUGCCUCAGACUCCAGAGUAUCUGGGAUUACAGGUGUGCCCUCCCCGCUAUUUGUUGACUUUUUUAACGUAAAAGGAUUUUUUGUUCCUUCUAACUGGCUUAUAUGCUGUAGAAUGUUCCUUCUCUUUUGGGUCAUUGGGCUGAUGGUUUUUUCCUCUUCAUGAAUACACAAGGGCAGGUACUCAAGACGUAUGAUAUUCUCUAAACAAGUGGGAUCUGAGCCAGACUUGAGAAGGCCAGGGAAACUUAAGGAAAAGGAUAUUCCAGAAUAGAGAAAAAUUUGUCCAAAUGAGCAUGUCUAUUUGUCCAAAUCUUCCCUGACUUGGAAGAUUUUAGCCAACCACAUUCUUAGAUUCCAUUAUUUGUCUUCAAAGCUGUGUCAGUUGACCUCUCAAGUCCCUUCUGCUUGGAAACUGUGCCGUUUCACUGACUGAUUUAAAUGAAAAUAGCUGAGCCUGAUACGUUGCCCUGCCAUUACUGGACUCCCAAGAAAUAUCUGGAAACCUGAGCAGAACAAGACUCAGUGUAAACCCUGCCCCAGACUAUGAUCCACAGCACCUGUUGCCCAACAUGAGACCACAGCGACCCCUGGUGACCAGGCUUAUUGCAACACCAAAACAUCUGCUCUGAGACUCCUUGGUGGGACCUGUGGAGGCAAUAAGUACCAUGGUGAUUAGCAGACAGACUAUAGAGGAACAUCAUCAUCUGUGGCUGCCUUCCCUCACCCCCCAGGGUGAAAGGAGGAGAAAAACCUAUCAGAAAAUAAUGGUACCACCUUGAACAAAAUAACAGCUUGCUGAGACCACCAACCUUCCACAGUCUGUGGGCUCUUCCAGAUUUCGUCAGCACUGAACCUUCUUCUCGCCCCUGGCGUCAAAAUGUUCCAUUGCCUACCUUCAUUUUAUAAAACCCCCUGUGAGUGACAUCUGGCUCACCCAGAUCAUCCAGGAUGAUCUCCCUUUCUCAAAGUCCUUAAUUUAGUAAUUUCUGCAAAGUUCCUUUUGAAUGUAAAGCAGCACAUUCACAGGUUCUGGAGAUAAGGACAUGGGACAUCUUUAUGGGCUACAAUCCUGUAUCACAUCACAUUGAGCAAUAUCACCACUGACACAGAAAACUCUUACUCAAAAAUUAUUAUAUUCAUACUAAUAGACGCAAGUUCUCCAAGAUUGUAAUUUUUGCUUGAAAGCUCAGUGGGUUUUGUUUUGUUGUUGUUGUUAACCAAGGAUUGAACCCAGGGAUGCUUAACCACUGAACUACAUCCUCGGUAGAGACUGGGUCUCACUGAGUUGCUCAGCACCUCACUUUUUGCUGAAGCUGGCUUUGAACUGGCGAUUCUCCUGUCUCAGCCUCCCAAACCACUGGGAUUACAGGCAUGUGCCAACAUGCCCGGUGAAUGCUAAGUUUUUAUCAUUGGCAAUAGUCAAUGGUUUCACUUAAAAUGACAAGCUUGCUUCAUUGAUUUUCAAUAUCUAUUGAAUAAAAUUGUGGUUAUUUCAUGUAAAAUGAAAUUCCAUAAGAAUUCAAGGUUAGAGGUGACAAGUUUUAGUUUUUACUAAGAUUAUUAAGUAAAAUUGGUACUAGGAGAACAGAGCAACAAAAGAGUUAACAUUUUUGAGUACAAUUUGAAGGCACUGUAUUAAUUUGUCCAAAGAUCUCAGUAGUUUUUGCCUGCAACUGCUUUUGCAUCCUCAGAACAAAUACAAAGAGUGAAGAACAAAGUUAUAGUGUCAGUAUGAAUAUUAAUUUGAUAUCAGAUCCCCUGGAAAGAAUGGCAAAGACCUACCACCUCCUACCCUCACCAGGGGUCUAUGAGCCAUAUCACAUCUUGAAAAUUGCUAUUUAGAAAAAUAAAACCUGCCAGCAGAUGGCAGCAGGUACAGUAGCAUUUCCCAAUUUGCAUUAACCAUUAUUUAGGAAACUGAUUUCAUUAAAAAGGAAUUUAAAUUUUUGCCUUAAAGUUCAAAGAUAGCAUCUCUUUUCAGAAGUUAAACUAGACCAAAUAAAUCCAUGAAACAGGUGCUACUUCAGCUUACAAUUCAAUGACCCAACAACUUUAAGUACUACAGGCCUCUCACUUUGUCACACAUGGAACACUAAAAAUAGUACAUAGCCUUGGUACAGGAACUCUGCCAUUUUACUAAAUAGUGCAAAAUUCAAAAAAGUGUUCUGCCAACUGGAAUUACUCUAAAAUUGAAGCAUUUCCCUUAAAGAAUCAUGUAUAGAGUUUAAUAAAACAUUUUUUCAAUUAAAUGUUAUUCAGUCUUUUUCUUUAUUAAAACAUCAGGGUACUAAGAAAGAGCUUAAAGAAAUUUUAAUGAGACCAUCUACAUAUUGUCAUCAGGCUUCUUGAUUGAUGCCUUUUUUUUUUUAAAUAGAGAAAAGGUUGUAAAGGUUAAAUUUAAGUUUUUCUCUCCUAUUAAGUUUAAGUUUUGCUUUCCUGGAACCCAAAACGUAUGUUAAAAACAAUUACUUAUGUCAAAAUGUACCCUGACCCAACACCCCCUGACAAAACGCAUGAUUAUUCUGUAAUGGUUAUUUUUUAACAAUCCCACUCUCGCACCCUAACUGCCAUAUGAACUUCCCUGUUUAAACACUGUAUAAAAACUCUGCUUAAGCUGUACUCGGGGCUCCAGUUUCUCUCAGGAGAACUCUGAGCCCCAGCAUGCUGGUCCCCUCCCCCCCAAAUAAACCCUUUGCUUUUGUAUGA